AUUGAACGCUGGCGGCAUGCUUUACACAUGCAAGUCGAACGGCAGCGCGUGGCAACCUGGCGGCGAGUGGCGAACGGGUGCGUAAUACAUCGGAACGUACCCAGAAGUGGGGGAUAACGUAGCGAAAGUUACGCUCAUACCGCAUACGUUCUACGGAAGAAAGUGGGGGACCUUCGGGCCUCAUGCUUUUGGUGCGGCCGAUGUCUGAUUAGCUAGCUGGUGAGGUAAAGGCUCACCAACGCGACGAUCAGUAGCUGGUCUGAGCGGACGACCAGGCACACAGGGACGGAGACACGGCCCAGACGUCGACGGGAGGCGGCAGUGGGGAAUUUUGGACAAGGGACGCAAGCCUGAUCCAGCAGUGCCGGGUGAGUGAAGAAGGCCUUAGUGUUGUAAAGCUCUUUUGUCAGGGAGUAAACGGCUGGGGCUAAUGUCCUCGGCUAAUGACGGUACCUGAAGAAUAAGCACCGGCUAACUACGUGCCAGCAGCCGCGGUAAAAC
rnacentral:rRNA from 1 species